rnacentral:rRNA from 1 species
GAGUUUGAUCCUGGCUCAGGAUGAACGCUAGCGGCAGGCUUAACACAUGCAAGUCGAGGGGUAACAGGAGAGCUUGCUCUUGCUGACGACCGGCGCACGGGUGCGUAACGCGUAUACAAUCUACCUUAUACUGGGGAAUAGGCCAAAGAAAUUUGGAUUAAUGCCCCAUAGUAUUUUUCUAACACAUGUUAGAAUUCUUAAAGCUCCGGCGGUAUAAGAUGAGUAUGCGUGAUAUUAGCUAGUUGGUGAGGUAACUGCUCACCAAGGCUACGAUAUCUAGGGGGUCUGAGAGGACUAUCCCCCACACUGGUACUGAGACACGGACCAGACUCCUACGGGAGGCAGCAGUGAGGAAUAUUGGGCAAUGGAGGCAACUCUGACCCAGCCAUGCCGCGUGAAGGAAGAAGGUCUUAUGGAUUGUAAACUUCUUUUAUUUGGGAAGAAACCCAAGGACGUGUCCUUGGCUGACGGUACCGUAAGAAUAAGCACCGGCUAACUCCGUGCCAGCAGCCGCGGUAAUACGGAGGGUGCAGGCGUUAUCCGGAUUUAUUGGGUUUAAAGGGUGCGCAGGCGGGCUAUUAAGUCAGCGGUGAAAUCCUACAGCUCAACUGUAGAACUGCCAUUGAUACUGUAGGUCUUGAGUCUAGUUGAGGUAGGCGGAAUGUGUCAUGUAGCGGUGAAAUGCUUAGAUAUGACACAGAACACCGAUUGCGAAGGCAGCUUACUAAACCAAUACUGACGCUGAGGCACGAAAGCGUGGGGAGCGAACAGGAUUAGAUACCCUGGUAGUCCACGCCGUAAACGAUGAAUACUCGCUGUUAGCAAUACACAGUUAGCGGCUAAGCGAAAGCAUUAAGUAUUCCACCUGGGGAGUACGAUCGCAAGAUUGAAACUCAAAGGAAUUGACGGGGGCCCGCACAAGCGGAGGAACAUGUGGUUUAAUUCGAUGAUACGCGAGGAACCUUACCUGGGCUUAAAUGCAGUACGACGUUCACCGAAAGGUGUUCUCCCUUCGGGGCGGACUGCAAGGUGCUGCAUGGUUGUCGUCAGCUCGUGCCGUGAGGUGUCGGGUUAAGUCCCAUAACGAGCGCAACCCCUAUUGUUAGUUGCCAGCGGAUAAUGCCGGGGACUCUAACGAGACUGCCACCGUAAGGUGUGAGGAAGGUGGGGAUGACGUCAAAUCAGCACGGCCCUUAUGUCCAGGGCUACACACGUGUUACAAUGGCCGAUACAAAGGGCAGCUACCAGGUGACUGGAUGCUAAUCUCUAAAGUCGGUCUCAGUUCGGAUCGAAGUCUGCAACUCGACUUCGUGAAGCUGGAUUGGCUAGUAAUCGCGCAUCAGCCACGGCGCGGUGAAUACGUUCCCGGGCCUUGUACACACCGCCCGUCAAGCCAUGGAAGCUGGGGGUACCUGAAGUUCGUAACCGUAAGGAGCGGCCUAGGGUAAAUCUAGUGACUGGGGUUAAGUCGUAACAAGGUAGCCGUACCGGGAGGUGCGGCUGGAUCACCUCCCU